UACGUAGGGCGCAAGCGUUGUCCGGAAUUAUUGGGCGUAAAGGGCGCGUAGGCGGCUUGUCGCGUCGACCGUGAAAACUUGGGGCUCAACCCCAAGCCUGCGGUCGAUACGGGCAGGCUCGAGUUCGGUAGGGGAGACUGGAAUUCCUGGUGUAGCGGUGAAAUGCGCAGAUAUCAGGAGGAACACCGAUGGCGAAGGCAGGUCUCUGGGAAGUAACUGACGCUGAGAAGCGAAAGCGUGGGUAGCGAACAGG
rnacentral:rRNA from 1 species